CAGACAGUUGACUUCUCAGUUAACUUCAACGGACCGUGAGACAAUCGCCAACAUGUCUUCAGGUGGGCCAGGGGACUUAUUUGCAUGGAGCGAGACAAAGGAUGCCAAUGAGGGAACUCAGGAAUUUUGUGAUAAGGUGAAGGGAGAGGUGGUGAAACAAACAGGCCAAAACUUUGCAGUUUACAAAGCAGUGAAAUACAGGAAUUAGUUUCUGUGUGGAGGAGAACACUUUGUCAUCAAGGUUCAAGUUGGAGAAACCGACUACAUUCACCUGUAUGUCACUCGUAUGACUGGGAUUCGACACCCGGAGAGUGUACCUCCAUCACUGCAAGGUGUACAGCAGAACAAAACCAAAGAGGACCCCCUGGAACCUUUUUAGAGACUGAUCCCAGAACCUGUUUCAACAGUGACAGUCUUACAGGCUGCAAUCUAAUAUUAAAAUGCUCUGCUUCUUUAUUCUGAAAUGAUCUGACGCUGACUUUAAAUGCAUUAACACAUAGAGAUAAAGACAUUUGGUGUU